UACGGGGGGGGCAAGCGUUGUUCGGAAUUACUGGGCGUAAAGGGCUCGUAGGCGGCCAACUAAGUCGGAUGUGAAAUCCCCAGGCUCAACUUGGGAACUGCAUCCGAUACUGGAUGGCUUGAGUUCGGGAGAGGGAUGCGGAAUUCCAGGUGUAGCGGUGAAAUGCGUAGAUAUCUGGAGGAACACCGGUGGCGAAGGCGGCAUCCUGGACCGAGACUGACACUGAGGAGCGAAAGCCAGGGGAGCAAACGGG
rnacentral:rRNA from 1 species